GAUGGACGCUAGCUACAGGCUUAACACAUGCAAGUCGAGGGGCAGCAGGAUCUAGCAAUAGAUUGCUGGCGACCGGCGCACGGGUGAGUAACACGUAUCCAACCUGCCGAUAACUCGGGGAUAGCCUUUCGAAAGAAAGAUUAAUACCCGAUGGUAUAAUCAGACCGCAUGGUUUGAUUAUUAAAGAAUUUCGGUUAUCGAUGGGGAUGCGUUCCAUUAGGCAGUUGGUGAGGUAACGGCUCACCAAACCUUCGAUGGAUAGGGGUUCUGAGAGGAAGGUCCCCCACAUUGGAACUGAGACACGGUCCAAACUCCUACGGGAGGCAGCAGUGAGGAAUAUUGGUCAAUGGACGCGAGUCUGAACCAGCCAAGUAGCGUGAAGGAUGACUGCCCUAUGGGUUGUAAACUUCUUUUAUAUGGGAAUAAAGUUUUCCACGUGUGGAAUUUUGUAUGUACCAUAUGAAUAAGGAUCGGCUAACUCCGUGCCAGCAGCCGCGGUAAUACGGAGGAUCCGAGCGUUAUCCGGAUUUAUUGGGUUUAAAGGGAGCGUAGGUGGACAGUUAAGUCAGUUGUGAAAGUUUGCGGCUCAACCGUAAAAUUGCAGUUGAUACUGGCUGUCUUGAGUACAGUAGAGGUGGGCGGAAUUCGUGGUGUAGCGGUGAAAUGCUUAGAUAUCACGAAGAACUCCGAUUGCGAAGGCAGCUCACUGGACUGCAACUGACACUGAUGCUCGAAAGUGUGGGUAUCAAACAGGAUUAGAUACCCUGGUAGUCCACACAGUAAACGAUGAAUACUCGCUGUUUGCGAUAUACAGUAAGCGGCCAAGCGAAAGCAUUAAGUAUUCCACCUGGGGAGUACGCCGGCAACGGUGAAACUCAAAGGAAUUGACGGGGGCCCGCACAAGCGGAGGAACAUGUGGUUUAAUUCGAUGAUACGCGAGGAACCUUACCCGGGCUUAAAUUGCAUUUGAAUAAUCUGGAAACAGGUUAGCCGCAAGGCAAAUGUGAAGGUGCUGCAUGGUUGUCGUCAGCUCGUGCCGUGAGGUGUCGGCUUAAGUGCCAUAACGAGCGCAACCCUUAUCUUUAGUUACUAACAGGUCAUGCUGAGGACUCUAGAGAGACUGCCGUCGUAAGAUGUGAGGAAGGUGGGGAUGACGUCAAAUCAGCACGGCCCUUACGUCCGGGGCUACACACGUGUUACAAUGGGGGGUACAGAAGGCAGCUACCUGGUGACAGGAUGCUAAUCCCAAAAGCCUCUCUCAGUUCGGAUCGAAGUCUGCAACCCGACUUCGUGAAGCUGGAUUCGCUAGUAAUCGCGCAUCAGCCAUGGCGCGGUGAAUACGUUCCCGGGCCU
rnacentral:rRNA from 1 species